GACGAACGCUGGCGGCGUGCUUAACACAUGCAAGUCGAACGGUGAUGCUCCAGCUUGCUGGAGUGGAUCAGUGGCGAACGGGUGAGUAACACGUGAGCAACCUGCCCCAGACUCUGGAAUAAGCGCUGGAAACGGCGUCUAAUACUGGAUACGAAACUGGCCCGCAUGGGCAUGGUUUGGAAAGUUUUUCGGUUUGGGAUGGGCUCGCGGCCUAUCAGCUUGUUGGUGAGGUAAUGGCUCACCAAGGCGACGACGGGUAGCCGGCCUGAGAGGGCGACCGGCCACACUGGGACUGAGACACGGCCCAGACUCCUACGAGAGGCAGCAGUGGGGAAUAUUGCACAAUGGGCGAAAGCCUGAUGCAGCGACGCCGCGUGAGGGAUGACGGCCUUCGGGUUGUAAACCUCUUUCAGCAGGGAAGAAGCGAAAGUGACGGUACCUGCAGAAGAAGCACCGGCUAACUACGUG
rnacentral:rRNA from 1 species